UAAUUACAACGGUAAAAACCGUGUCGGGGAAACUCCCCUCUCACACAAAGUCAGAAAAAGAAAAAACUUCCCAAGCUAACAGGUCAGUUGCAACAGGUUUUAUAUACAUGACAGACUAGACCACUUCUAUCGUUACCCAACAUAUAUUUGCUGUCCAAGCUGCUGUGCACCCUUACUUUUCUUCCAGGUUGUCGCCAACUCUAUACAAUCAGUCUCAAAGAGGGUAUUCU
rnacentral:lncRNA from 1 species